GACCACUCCGAUGGCCUAGUGGUUAGAGCGUCCGCCCCGGGAUGCGGGAGGUCCUGAGUUAGAACCCUUGCCGAGUCA